UACAGAGGUCUCAAGCGUUGUUCGGAUUCAUUGGGCGUAAAGGGUGCGUAGGUGGCAGGGUAAGUCGGAUGUGAAUCCCGGGGCUCAACCUCGGAACUGCAUUCGAUACUGCUUUGCUGGAGUACUGGAGAGGAGAUUGGAAUUUACGGUGUAGCAGUGAAAUGCGUAGAUAUCGUAAGGAAGACCAGUGGCGAAGGCGGAUCUCUGGACAGUUACUGACACUGAGGCAGCGAAGGCC
rnacentral:rRNA from 1 species